rnacentral:rRNA from 1 species
GCCAUGCCGCGUGCAGGAUGAAGCAUCUAUGGUGUGUAAACUGCUUUUGUACGGGAAGAAACACCUCUUCGUGAAGAGGCUUGACGGUACCGUAAGAAUAAGGAUCGGCUAACUCCGUGCCAGCAGCCGCGGUAAUACGGAGGAUCCAAGCGUUAUCCGGAAUCAUUGGGUUUAAAGGGUCCGUAGGCGGCUUUAUAAGUCAGUGGUGAAAUCUGGCGGCUCAACCGUCAAAUUGCCAUUGAUACUGUAGGGCUUGAAUGUUUGUGAAGUAACUAGAAUAUGUAGUGUAGCGGUGAAAUGCUUAGAUAUUACAUGGAAUACCCAUUGCGAAGGCAGGUUACUAACAAAUGAUUGACGCUGAUGGACGAAAGCGUGGGUAGCGAACAGGAUUAGAUACCCUGGUAGUCCACGCCGUAAACGAUGGAUACUAGCUGUUCGGUAGCAAUACUGAGUGGCUAAGCGAAAGUGAUAAGUAUCCCACCUGGGGAGUACGGGCGCAAGCCUGAAACUCAAAGGAAUUGACGGGGGCCCGCACAAGCGGUGGAGCAUGUGGUUUAAUUCGAUGAUACGCGAGGAACCUUACCAGGGCUUAAAUGUAGUAUGACAGGUUUGGAAACAGAUCCU